rnacentral:rRNA from 1 species
CCUACGGGGGGCUGCAGUGGGGAAUAUUGGACAAUGGGGGGAACCCUGAUCCAGCCAUACCGCGUGUGUGAAGAAGGCCCUCGGGUUGUAAAGCACUUUCAGUGAGGAAGAACGCCUGGUGGUUAAUACCCAUCAGGAAAGACAUCACUCACAGAAGAAGCACCGGCUAACUCCGUGCCAGCAGCCGCGGUAAUACGGAGGGUGCGAGCGUUAAUCGGAAUUACUGGGCGUAAAGCGCGCGUAGGUGGCUUGAUAAGCCGGUUGUGAAAGCCCCGGGCUCAACCUGGGAACGGCAUCCGGAACUGUCAAGCUAGAGUGCAGGAGAGGAAGGUAGAAUUCCCGGUGUAGCGGUGAAAUGCGUAGAGAUCGGGAGGAAUACCAGUGGCGAAGGCGGCCUUCUGGACUGACACUGACACUGAGGUGCGAAAGCGUGGGUAGCAAACAGGAUUAGAUACCCUGGUAGUC